rnacentral:tRNA from 1 species
GCAUUGGUGGUUCAGUGGUAGAAUUCUUGCCUUCCACGCAGGAGACCUGGGUUUGAUUCCCAGCCAAUGUA